rnacentral:rRNA from 1 species
CCCGUCUUAAACACGAACCAAGGAGUGCAGGAGGCGCGCGAGUCUUCGGGUGAAGGAAACCCGUCCGGGGCGAAGUGAGAGUGAUUCGCGGGAGCCGGCGGCCAGCCGUCGGUGCACCGCGGACCGAGCCGUUCGGUCACGCUGUGGCCGGCUUCGAGUCAGAGCGCGUCUGUUGCGACCCGAAAGAUGGUGAACUAUGCCCGAGGAGGGUGAAGCCAGGGGAAACUCUGGUGGAAGCUCGUAGCGGUUCUGACGUGCAAAUCGAUCGUCGCACUUGGGUAUAGGGGCGAAAGACUAAUCGAACCAUCUAGUAGCUGGUUCCCUCCGAAGUUUCCCUCAGGAUAGCUGGAGCCCGGCUGAGCAGUUUUAUCGGGUAAAGCGAAUGAUUAGAGGUAUCGGGGUCCGAGCGACCUCGACCUAUUCUCAAACUUUAAAUAGGUAAGCACGGGUGGCUUGCUUGCGUGAAGCCACUCCGCGGAAUGCAGGGGCUCCUGGUGGGCCGUUUUUGGUAAGCAGAACCGGCGAUGCGGGAUGAACCGAACGGCGGGUUACGGUGCCGGAGUUGACGCUGAUCAGAACCCAGGAAAGGUGUUGGUUGAUCUAGACAGCAG